UGCAGUCGAGCGGAACGAGUUAUCUGAACCUUCGGGGGACGAUAACGGCGUCGAGCGGCGGACGGGUGAGUAAUGCCUAGGAAAUUGCCCUGAUGUGGGGGAUAACCAUUGGAAACGAUGGCUAAUACCGCAUGAUGCCUACGGGCCAAAGAGGGGGACCUUCGGGCCUCUCGCGUCAGGAUAUGCCUAGGUGGGAUUAGCUAGUUGGUGAGGUAAGGGCUCACCAAGGCGACGAUCCCUAGCUGGUCUGAGAGG
rnacentral:rRNA from 1 species